AAAGUGGUGCUUCAGGUUAAAAACAAUUUCAGGUUAAGAAUGGACCUCCGGAACAAAUUAAGUACUUAACCCGAGGUACCACUGUAUCACUUCCAUGUGGCAGGUUCAGCAGGAACAGCGAGGAAACUCUGGAUCACAAUUUGGUGGUGAGCCAGGAAAGUAGACUAUUUACAGGAUGAAGUAUUGAAGGAGGAGGGAAGAGAGAAGGAAAUUUGUCCAGAAACCCCAGGAGAUCUCAAUCACUUGCAAGUUGCUGCUCUCAUAUGGGGGAGAUUUCAGAACAGGAAAGAUGCUACAGCAGGCUGGUAGAUAUUUACAAGAUUAUGCAUGGUGUAAAUAAAGUGGGCAGAUAGGUUUUUAUUUCUCUUUUGGCAGCGUUAGGACCUGAGGUCAUCCGGUGAAACUGAUUGGUAGAAGAUGCAAAGAAACACAGGUCUUAAAUAAUAACUUUCACAUUUAACAUACAGAAUUCAUUGUUGCAUGAUGCAAGUUGCCACGGGCUCUCAAGGGGGACUGGACAAAUACAUGGAGGAACAGCCUAUCAGUGGAUGCCUUGAGCAUCCAUGUUCCAAAGCAGCAUGCGUGCCUCAUGAGUCCCAGCCUUUGGGAGAUGACAGCGGGGAGAUGCUCUUUCCUUUGUGACCUGCUUGUGAUCUUUCCUGAAGCAUCUGGCCAGCGCUGCUCGAAAGAGGACUCCUGACUAGAUCGGUCUUUGGUUUGAUCUGACUCUCCUUAGCUUUUAAAGGGACGCUGUUGGAGGUAUUAUGCCUCUGAACGCCACUUGCAGAAAAUUGCAAGGCUGUUGCACUCAGUUUCUCAUAGGUAUCUGGCUGGCCACUGAGAUCAGGAUGCUGGACUAUGAUGGGACUUUGGGUGGAUCUAGCAGAGCUCUUAUUGAGUUCGCACACGAUCUCUGGCCUAGAUCUGGCAAGCCCAGAUCAUCUCUCUUCAUUCUGUGAGGGUCAGCAUGUUGGUGCCUCUGUCCCUGGACUGGAGCAAGCAGAGUGACAGCACUAAGGAGAACACCCGUUUUUGUUUUGUUUCUAAUUGUCUGGAUGUUGUUAGAUAGUCAAAACACUUCAAUUAACAGGAAUUUUAGCCGUUUUAGGUGCUCUUCCUUUCCAUCUGUAGAUUCCCCUUAUUAUCAACAGCCGUUUAUAUUUCUUCACCCACAAAUCUCUCACUAACAUCUCACCCUGUAAUCUCCAUGGCUUCAAUCAAGGCAUAUUAAAAGUUCGGAGAAUUUUG